CAAAGGACGAGGAAAAAAAAUAACUCCGGGAAAUUGGGAGCCCUGUGGAAAAAUCGAUUCCGUUUGAUUUGGCCAACACAGUGGGAAGUCAUUCCCUGUGUCCUGGUGCUCCAGCUCCUGGUGAAGAUUCCCUUUCCAGAUUCCAGGAAUUAUCCUGGCAGGCGACCACAGCAGGACCAUCCUGGAUCCAUCUCACGCUGCUUCCCACGGGAUUUUCCUGUCCUUGCCCAGUAUUCCCAACUCUGCAGCAGAUCCACGGCCUCUGGAGACUCAUUCCUGCUGAUCCAUGUCCUGUCCGUGCCUAACCAGAUGCUAAUUUAUUAAUUAAAUGCUGUGCUUAAUGACAGGGUGAAGAUUAAUGAGGGCAAAUCUCGCAGAGCGUUCCUUGGGAAGAGACAGCUCCAUGCAUCCAACACCACCCUGGGGUUUUUGGGAAGCUCAAAAUUCUCAUGGAAUGUCCUUGGAGAUGCUCCAUGCCAGUCUCCAACCAUUCAGGAUGGAAUUAUUCCCAUGGAAUUGUCCCAAGGCUGGCGCUGCUGGAAGCAGCCCCGGGCGGGAGCAUCGGGACGGGAGCACCAGCUUGGAUUUGUUGGGGCAAGGCUGGAAUGGAGAGAAUUCCUCCCAGAAAAUAAUUCCAUGGACAAAUUUCACCUGGAAGACUUCCUUGUGAGCAGCUUUGGGUUUUCCUGAUCGGAUAAAAAUAAAUUAUGGAAUAACUCCUGCGACAGCUGCUCAGGAAGAGAUUUUCGGGAUGAACUCCGAGCUCUGGCUCCGUUUUCCUUCCAUCCCUUCCCCUUCCUAGCGGGAUGGCUCUGGGAUUGCUGGGGAUGGGCAGCUCUGGAUGCACUUUCUGGAAAGCUCUCUCCAAAAGUUCCUUUGGAUCUGGCUGUUGGCUCCAGCACGGGAGCCAAGAAAUCCAUCAGCAAAAUAUCAAUGGAAAAAAACGGAGUUGGAGGAGCUCAAGAAGAAAUUUGGCUCCUCUGUCGGGAUUGGUGACUGAAAACUAGGAAAUGUUGGGAAUUCAGGCACUGAGAACUGGGAAGUGCUGGGAAUUCAGAUAUUGGGAAAUGUUGGGAAUUCAGGCACUGAGAACUGGGAAUGCUGGGAAUUCAGAUAUUGGGAAAUGUUGGGAAUUCAGGCACUGAGAACUGGGAAGUGCUGGGAAUUCAGAUAUUAGGAAAUUUUGGGAAUUCAGGCACUGAGAACUGGGAAGUGCUGGGAAUUCAGGCACUGAGAGCUGGGAAGUGCUGGGAAUUCAGGCACAGAGAAGUGGGAAGUGUUGGGAAUUCAGGUAUUAGGAAAUUUUGGGAACUCAGACAUUGGGAGAUGCUGGGAGCCAGAAAUUCCACCUGAGUUUCCUUUUUUCCCAGCUCCCUCAGGAUUCUCCAGCCCCUUCCCCAGAUCCAUUCCCUUCCCUGGACACACUCCAGCCCAGAAAAUCCUCCCUGAACUGAGGGAAUAAUUGAUAAUUCCCUUUCCUCAGUAUCUGCUCCAUGGAUCAGUUGCAAUUAAAUAAUUUGGGGCUGCAACAAGAUUUUUAAGGCCCCUCCCAACCCAAACCUCAUUGUAAUUCCAUGGAUAAUGAAUUAUUCCCUGGAUAAUGAAGUUUAGGCGGCUGCCGUGGUGCAGGAAUUCCUGGGAAUCAUUCUGGGAGGAGAAAUCCAAGGAUUGCAGCAGCUCCCUCCUCACUUCGUCUAAAAUUAAAUCCGCUCUCGAGCUGCACUUAAGCAAAACCAGUUGCCAUGGCCACGCCAGGGGCUCCUGGAUGCGGGAAACCAGGAAUUCUGGGAUAAUGAAGGGCUCUGGAAUAUCCUUGGGAAGUCCAUCCACCUGUCAAACCCUCAGUGCCCAGGAACUGGGAAUGGAAAUUCCCCCUCCCUUCCCAUGGCUGCGAUUCGGCUUGAAUUCCCUGGAAUCCUGAGCUCCUGCUGGGAACCGGGACUAUUGGGAAUAUUGGGAAUAUCAGGAAUAUCGGAGAUGGAACAACUCCGUCCUGAUCCAGAGGUUCCCGGAGUAAUUCCAGUGGGAAUUAUUCCUGCUGCUGAGUUUGGACUUCGUUUGUUGAAGAGAGGGAGGGAAAAA
ensembl:lncRNA